rnacentral:lncRNA from 1 species
UCAAUCAACUUGGGCUUUGAGGGUAUCAUUUUUCUUUUUUCUUUUUUCUUUUAAAAAAAUAAAUAAAUUUGAUUUUGAUUCUUUUUUUAUAUUUUUCACCCUCUCUCUCUCUUUUUUUUGUCUUUUUCUUUUUUGAUUACAUUUGUAAUGCCCCAGUUUGACUGUUUUGCUGAUUCUCAUGAUACAGCUGAAUGAGCUUCUUUUCAUACUCAAGAAGACGAGUAAUCUCAUCAGGAAUCCCCUUCAACAUCAUCUUCCUCUGCCUCAAAUACAAGGAAUUCAAGAUCGGGAGAUGGCGUUGGAUCAUUAUGUUCAAUGGGUUUAGAAAUCCCUGCAUAAUGA